GUGUCAGCAGCCGCGGUAAUACGGGGGGUGCAAGCGUUGUUCGGAAUUAUUGGGCGUAAAGAGCGUGUAGGCGGCCGGAUGUGUCAGAUGUGAAAGCCCUGGGCUCAACCCAGGAAGUGCAUUUGAAACUAUCCGGCUUGAGUAGGGGAGAGGGAAGUGGAAUUCCUGGUGUAGAGGUGAAAUUCGUAGAUAUCAGGAGGAACACCGGUGGCGAAGGCGACUUCCUGGCCCUAUACUGACGCUGAGACGCGAGAGCGUGGGUAGCAAACAGGAUUAGAAACCCGAGUAGUCC
rnacentral:rRNA from 1 species